rnacentral:rRNA from 1 species
GUGCCAGCACCUGCGGUUAUACUUUAUGAAAGUAACUUUGUUUUAUUAAAAAAAAAUUAUUUUUAAUAUGGUUUAAUAUUAUAUAAAAAAUAAAUUUUUAGUGGUGGAUUUAAAAAAUAUCUUAACAUAAAAAGGUUAGUAUCUUUGUAUGGUAUUUUUAAUGAAAGUAGUUUAUAAAACUUAAAAUAAAUGGUAGUAAAAUACCCAGGCUAGGGAAUUUUAAAAUUUGAUUUGAUAAUCCUCAAUUUUAUUCACUUUAAAUAAUUUUAUGUGUGGUUGUUU